GGUGAACCGGCGGAUGGGCAUUUGCCGAUAUCUGAAAGUAGACCUGUGAACACGUGUUUAACAUGAACGGUGCCUUGUUGGGCUAGAGUGAUUCUGCCCUGCGAGUCGCCGUGCCCACCCGGUGCUAGCACUCGGUGGGCUAACGAAACCCGGCGCGGUAAGCGUCAAGGAAAACAAAAACAGAAUCGAUGCCCCUAUGGCUCCCGUCCGCGGUGUGGCUGUGGGGAUGCGUCGUAUCUUGAAAGUCAAAACGACUCUCGGCAACGGAUAUCUCGGCUCUCGCAUCGAUGAAGAACGUAGCGAAAUGCGAUACUUGGUGUGAAUUGCAGAAUCCCGUGAACCAUCGAGUCUUUGAACGCAAGUUGCGCCCGACGCCUCCCGGCUGAGGGCACGCCUGCCUGGGCGUCACGCAUCGCGUCGCCCCCUCCCAAUCCCUUGUGGUAUGGUGAUGGGGCGGACAUUGGCUUCCCGUUAGCUCGGUUAGCCCAAAUGGGAUCCCUCAUCGACGGAUGUCACAACCAGUGGUGGUUGAAAGAUCAUUGGUGCUGUUGUGCUUCACCCUGUCGCUUGUUCGGGCAUCGUCAUAAACCAACGGCGUGUAAAGCGCCUUCGACCGCGACCCCAGGUCAGACGGGACUACCCGCUGAGUUUAAGCAU
rnacentral:rRNA from 1 species